GUGUUCUCUUUGGAAGCACUUAUACUAAAACUGGAAUGAUACAGAGAUUAGUAUGGGCCCUGUGCAAGGAUGACAUUGAAAUUCAUGAAGUGUUCCAUAUUUUU
ensembl:snRNA U6 U6 spliceosomal RNA